rnacentral:lncRNA from 1 species
AAUUCGGAUCCAAUUCAUAUUACACAUUAUAAUAAGAUAAUGAAUGGGAUUAAUAGUUUUGUAUUGACGUUAACAGAAGUAAUAGCCAUUAAACAUGAAGUCCUAGUUGAACGGAACUGUUGAUCUAGUUGCAUAUAUUGAGCAAAUCAGAGCUGCUAUUUAUUGAGUAUUGUAUACAUUUAAAUUGUUAUAUUUUGAAAUAUGAUGAAUAUUCUGGUAUUAUUAUUGAGAUGGGCA